rnacentral:rRNA from 1 species
UGUGAGCUCGAUGAGUAGGGCGGGACACGUGGUAUCCUGUCUGAAUAUGGGGGGACCAUCCUCCAAGGCUAAAUACUCCUGACUGACCGAUAGUGAACCAGUACCGUGAGGGAAAGGCGAAAAGAACCCCGGCGAGGGGAGUGAAAAAGAACCUGAAACCGUGUACGUACAAGCAGUGGGAGCCUCUUUUAUGGGGUGACUGCGUACCUUUUGUAUAAUGGGUCAGCGACUUAUAUUCUGUAGCAAGGUUAACCGAAUAGGGGAGCCGAAGGGAAACCGAGUCUUAACUGGGCGUUAAGUUGCAGGGUAUAGACCCGAAACCCGGUGAUCUAGCCAUGGGCAGGUUGAAGGUUGGGUAACACUAACUGGAGGACCGAACCGACUAAUGUUGAAAAAUUAGCGGAUGACUUGUGGCUGGGGGUGAAAGGCCAAUCAAACCGGGAGAUAGCUGGUUCUCCCCGAAAGCUAUUUAGGUAGCGCCUCGUGAAUUCAUCUCCGGGGGUAGAGCACUGUUUCGGCAAGGGGGUCAUCCCGACUUACCAACCCGAUGCAAACUGCGAAUACCGGAGAAUGUUAUCACGGGAGACACACGGCGGGUGCUAACGUCCGUCGUGAAGAGGGAAACAACCCAGACCGCCAGCUAAGGUCCCAAAGUCAUGGUUAAGUGGGAAACGAUGUGGGAAGGCCCAGACAGCCAGGAUGUUGGCUUAGAAGCAGCCAUCAUUUAAAGAAAGCGUAAUAGCUCACUGGUCGAGUCGGCCUGCGCGGAAGAUGUAACGGGGCUAAACCAUGCACCGAAGCUGCGGCAGCGACACUAUGUGUUGUUGGGUAGGGGAGCGUUCUGUAAGCCUGUGAAGGUGUACUGUGAGGUAUGCUGGAGGUAUCAGAAGUGCGAAUGCUGACAUAAGUAACGAUAAAGCGGGUGAAAAGCCCGCUCGCCGGAAGACCAAGGGUUCCUGUCCAACGUUAAUCGGGGCAGGGUGAGUCGACCCCUAAGGCGAGGCCGAAAGGCGUAGUCGAUGGGAAACAGGUUAAUAUUCCUGUACUUGGUGUUACUGCGAAGGGGGGACGGAGAAGGCUAUGUUGGCCGGGCGACGGUUGUCCCGGUUUAAGCGUGUAGGCUGGUUUUCCAGGCAAAUCCGGAAAAUCAAGGCUGAGGCGUGAUGACGAGGCACUACGGUGCUGAAGCAACAAAUGCCCUGCUUCCAGGAAAAGCCUCUAAGCAUCAGGUAACAUCAAAUCGUACCCCAAACCGACACAGGUGGUCAGGUAGAGAAUACCAAGGCGCUUGAGAGAACUCGGGUGAAGGAACUAGGCAAAAUGGUGCCGUAACUUCGGGAGAAGGCACGCUGAUAUGUAGGUGAAGCGACUUGCUCGUGGAGCUGAAAUCAGUCGAAGAUACCAGCUGGCUGCAACUGUUUAUUAAAAACACAGCACUGUGCAAACACGAAAGUGGACGUAUACGGUGUGACGCCUGCCCGGUGCCGGAAGGUUAAUUGAUGGGGUCAGCGCAAGCGAAGCUCUUGAUCGAAGCCCCGGUAAACGGCGGCCGUAACUAUAACGGUCCUAAGGUAGCGAAAUUCCUUGUCGGGUAAGUUCCGACCUGCACGAAUGGCGUAAUGAUGGCCAGGCUGUCUCCACCCGAGACUCAGUGAAAUUGAACUCGCUGUGAAGAUGCAGUGUACCCGCGGCAAGACGGAAAGACCCCGUGAACCUUUACUAUAGCUUGACACUGAACAUUGAGCCUUGAUGUGUAGGAUAGGUGGGAGGCUUAGAAGUGUGGACGCCAGUCUGCAUGGAGCCGACCUUGAAAUACCACCCUUUAAUGUUUGAUGUUCUAACGUUGACCCGUGAUCCGGGUUGCGGACAGUGUCUGGUGGGUAGUUUGACUGGGGCGGUCUCCUCCUAAAGAGUAACGGAGGAGCACGAAGGUUGGCUAAUCCUGGUCGGACAUCAGGAGGUUAGUGCAAUGGCAUAAGCCAGCUUGACUGCGAGCGUGACGGCGCGAGCAGGUGCGAAAGCAGGUCAUAGUGAUCCGGUGGUUCUGAAUGGAAGGGCCAUCGCUCAACGGAUAAAAGGUACUCCGGGGAUAACAGGCUGAUACCGCCCAAGAGUUCAUAUCGACGGCGGUGUUUGGCACCUCGAUGUCGGCUCAUCACAUCCUGGGGCUGAAGUAGGUCCCAAGGGUAUGGCUGUUCGCCAUUUAAAGUGGUACGCGAGCUGGGUUUAGAACGUCGUGAGACAGUUCGGUCCCUAUCUGCCGUGGGCGCUGGAGAACUGAGGGGGGCUGCUCCUAGUACGAGAGGACCGGAGUGGACGCAUCACUGGUGUUCGGGUUGUCAUGCCAAUGGCACUGCCCGGUAGCUAAAUGCGGAAGAGAUAAGUGCUGAAAGCAUCUAAGCACGAAACUUGCCCCGAGAUGAGUUCU